rnacentral:misc_RNA from 1 species
GAUUGAAGAACGUAGCGAAAUGCGAUAAGUAAUGCGAAUUGCAGAUUUCAGUGAGUCAUCGAAUCUUUGAACGCACAUUGCGCCCGCCAGUAUUCUGGCGGGCAUGCCUGUUCGAGCGUCAUUUCAACCAUCAAGCCCCCGGGCUUGCGUUGGGGCCCUGCGGCUGCCGCAGGCCCCGAAAAGCAGUGGCGGGCUCGCUGUCACACCGAGCGCAGUAGCGAUUCUCGCUCCGGGCGUCGGCGGCGGGCACCGGCCGUGAAACCCCCCCCACAUCCACAAGGUUGACCUCGGAUCAGGUAGGAAUACCCGCUGAACUUAAGCAUAUCAAUAAGCGGAGGA